CUCAAUAUUGGUUGUGGAGAGCCAAAGAGGCGCCCCUGAGAACACUGAGUCCAGCGCCGGGAGACCCAAAGCCCCAGACGCCCAAAGGGACCCAAAGAGCAAAGGCACCAAGGAGGGGCCAACCCAGGAAAUCCAACCCCAACCAAGGGAGGAGGAGAGACAGCCCAGAGGAAGUUGCCCCAGCCAUCGCAAUGCCGGAGUCCCCGGGAGCAUUAGCAUUGAGUUCCAGGCUUUAUAGAGUAGCUCAACAAAGCCUUAUUAUGGCUUAGAAAACAUGCAAAUUGAACGAAAUGAAUUCAAUUGGAGAUUUGAUUGGAGAAAUUAUUCAUUGCUCCAGAGAACAUGCCUCCAGUGCUCUAAAGAAUCAUGAUGACAAAAGGCUGCAGGCAGAUUAUCCAUGGAGCAGCAGAGGUCUUCCUUAUAGACGAAGCUGGCCUGACUUGAGGGGCUACAGCCAGAGCUACAAGGAACUACGCUCCUGCAGCCAUGGCAAAAGAAGAAGGAGCCCCAGUUGCAGCACCAUCCACUGUUAGACGGAUGCACAUGGCAGAAUACUGCCCCACUCCGUACCCUGACA